CCUAGGGGUCACUGCUAGCCCAGCCCCGGCCCAGGCAGAGGGGGUGGAGGAAGCACUCACCUUCGGGCAGCAGCGAAAUGCUCUUCAUGACGUCGGCUGCCAGGAUGAAGUUCUUGACGCUGAUCAUCUGGUGUAUGUAGAGCUGCGUGUCGAUGAAGGCCAUGCCCGUCAGCUCGCUGGCCCGCAGGCUCCACAGGAAAAUCUGGGGGCGAGGGCGAGGCCCCCAGCUGGGGCAGCAUCAGCCAGUGCUGCUGGGAACCGGCCGGGCCCCACCUGUCUGUUGAAGUACAGGAAGC
rnacentral:lncRNA from 1 species